ensembl:lncRNA
CGCGUCCGGCUCCCUCCCCACCCCCGGCUCCCGCGCCUGGAUUAAACCGCUCAGACUCCUCUGUCCCCAGAAGUGGCUGCCUGGAGAUUGGGACAGAUCGGAUGGUGGCUCUGCGGACAGGAAGAGAACCAGCCAGGAUGUGUGCAGGGCAGAGAGAUUGAUUCUAUAUCUUGGCUAUUGUGAAUAAUACUGCAACAAACAUGAGAACAGAAUGACUCUUCAACAUUGAAAACCAUUUUCUUUUGAAAGGUACACUGACUAAGGAGAGUUCUCCAGAGGAUGGAUGCCUUUUCAUACUUUGGCCUGAUUUUGUCUGUGAGUCCUAACAGUGAGCUGAGAUCAGCAACAGCAUCAGCCUGCCAAGAUAUGCCUCAGACUCCAAAUCUAGUCCAAGAACAUGUUGGAGUCCAUUACAAAGCUGAUUCUAUGGAACAAACUCUUUAUUCAGUGAAAUAAUAUCCAAACUGAAAAGUGAAG